GCAGUCGAACGAUGAAGCCUUUCGGGGUGGAUUAGUGGCGAACGGGUGAGUAACACGUGGGCAAUCUGCCCUUCACUCUGGGACAAGCCCUGGAAACGGGGUCUAAUACCGGAUAACACUCUGUCCCGCAUGGGACGGGGUUAAAAGCUCCGGCGGUGAAGGAUGAGCCCGCGGCCUAUCAGCUUGUUGGUGGGGUAAUGGCCUACCAAGGCGACGACGGGUAGCCGGCCUGAGAGGGCGACCGGCCACACUGGGACUGAGACACGGCCCAGACUCCUACGGGAGGCAGCAGUGGGGAAUAUUGCACAAUGGGCGAAAGCCUGAUGCAGCGACGCCGCGUGAGGGAUGACGGCCUUCGGGUUGUAAACCUCUUUCAGCAGGGAAGAAGCGAAAGUGACGGUACCUGCAGAAGAAGCGCCGGCUAACUACGUGCCAGCAGCCGCGGUAAUACGUAGGGCGCAAGCGUUGUCCGGAAUUAUUGGGCGUAAAGAGCUCGUAGGCGGCUUGUCACGUCGGAUGUGAAAGCCCGGGGCUUAACCCCGGGUCUGCAUUCGAUACGGGCUAGCUAGAGUGUGGUAGGGGAGAUCGGAAUUCCUGGUGUAGCGGUGAAAUGCGCAGAUAUCAGGAGGAACACCGGUGGCGAAGGCGGAUCUCUGGGCCAUUACUGACGCUGAGGAGCGAAAGCGUGGGGAGCGAACAGGAUUAGAUACCCUGGUAGUCCACGCCGUAAACGUUGGGAACUAGGUGUUGGCGACAUUCCACGUCGUCGGUGCCGCAGCUAACGCA
rnacentral:rRNA from 1 species